rnacentral:lncRNA from 1 species
CUCGCUCUCUUCGUGCCUGACAUGGCUCUCAACCGCCAGAGCACUCCGAGGCGAGUGCGUUGCGUGGGGCAGCGGUGACCAAGGUGACAGCUGGGACAUGGCGAAGGUUCUACGCCUAACUCAAAAGUACCAACACAACACUAACCUAUGCCUAACACUAAAGUAAGAACAGCAACCUACGCCUAACUCUAAAGUAACAACAACAACAACAACAACAAUCUACUCCUAACACUAACAUAACAACAAGAACCCCUACCUAACUCUAAAAUACAAACAACAACCUACUCCUACCACUAGAACUAAACUUAACACUAACAUCAACAAGAACGGGGACGGGGACAGAACGGGGCUCAGAGGGGACUGGGGGCCCGCAGAACUCGGCGCCAGAGGAGGACCAGAUGUUAAAUAAUGCCACCCAGCUAAUGCUGGGGGCGGGGGCCGCGCAGCGGGUAAGGAGCCGAGCGCCUGGACCAGCGAUGGCGGAGCUGUGACGGCGCCGAUGCGGGGCCUGGCACGGUGGUGUGGUGCCAGGCCAGCUAUGCCGCAGGCGGAUCCACCUCCAUGGGCUCUUCUGCAGGUGGAUCCACCUCCAUGGGCUCUUCCGGAGGUGGAUCCACCUCCAUGGGCUCCACGGUGGUGCUCACGCUGCUGGUCCAGGUGCGAUGGAAACGCACUCUCCUGCCCCUCCUCCGCUUGAUGGUCAUGGCGGGCCCCCUCCUCCUCUUCGCUUCUGGGGCCCCCAGCUCCCUCUUCCCACCUACAAUAGGGCAAUCGUCCCCUCUCGCUCUCUUCGUGCCUGACAUGGCUCUCAACCGCCAGAGCACUCCGAGGCGAGUGCGUUGCGUGGGGCAGCGGUGACCAAGGUGACAGCUGGGACAUGGCGAAGGUUCUAAAAUGGCAGCCGCACUGCUGGCAGUGGCCUUCCACGGAGGAGGAGGAGGGGGCUGCAGGACAGGGCACGGGACGCCAGGUAGAAGGCGCUCCCUGUGCCCAGCGGGCAGCCCUUCUCUCCGGCCAGCAAGAGGGCACACAGGAGCCGGCCCCGACAAAAGGGCCCUCAGCCUCCUUCACCCUCGCCCUCCUUCCACAAGGGAAUCCCCUUCUCAGCCUGGGACACGCAGCACACAGCCGCUCGCUGUGAUGGCAUCUCCUGAGGCCAGUGCAAACAACAGCAGGCUCCAAAGCGCACCUGACUACGCCUGCCUCCUGCGAGACAGAAGCCAUGGCUUCCAUUUCAGCAUCCAGUGCCUCUUCCCAUGUGCGGUCCCAUGCUGGGAUUCCAACAUUACCUACAAUAAAUACGUCCAACUGAGUGUUGAACAACAGUUUCAGAGUCUCUGAGGAAAUACGUUAUAGGGAACAAGCUUCCUCAACGAGGCUGCUUGCGACUCGCCUCGCUUAUAAAGCCCUUGCAUUCAACAAUCCCAUUCCCAAAAUAACAUACCUACUAUUUGCUAGAGCAUCUCAGACAGCCUGGGGGGCAAAGUCGUGGUAGGUAAGUAUUGCAGGACACCACUUCCAGAGGACACCCGGGGACUUGGAAGGAUGUCAGUCACUGCAGGCCUGUGGACUACGGCAGCGUCCUUGCCCUACUGCUCAUGCUCGGCGACAGCAAGAGAGCAUCUCCUCCUGCCACGAAGCAGGCAGCUGGCAGCGGGGAGCAGAGAGGCAGCAGCUGGGGCACAGAGCUGUCAGCAGAACAUGAAGAACAUGCACGCUAAGCGAGGUGCGUGCGGGUCAGACCCCGAGCCCAGGAAUGCUUCAGCUGCACUCAGGGGACAGGCAUGCGCUGGCGUUGCGGCUCCAUGCCGAGGGCCAGAGCUGCUGCAGGGCCAGCGCUGGGCCUGGGGGCUACAUCAGCCCGGGCAGCUUCUGCCAGCUCCCAGAGAGCUUCUCCCCUCUGCACUUUCUCUGGGCAGGGGACCAGGGAAAACCAGGGCAACAGGCACAGACCUGAUGCGGGCCACAGGCUGCCGUGCCUGCCGAGAGCAUCAGGGGUGCUACGGCCAUACGCAGGAAGCUUGAUCCUUGUGGGAAGACACUGCUAGGACAGCACCCGCUUGUCCUUCUUGCCAACCGUGGCUGCGUCCGUGCCCACUCAUCGGGGCUGUCCUCCCGGUGCCAAGCCAGCAGAGCACAGCCCGCAGUGGCUGUGGGGGCCAAGAUAUUCAUUGGGAGCUGCCUGCCACAGCAUCCAGCUCAGCUCCUACAAGCACCACUCGCUCGCACCGCACCGCACCGCACCGCACGCCUCGCCUCUGCGUGCGUGCCGGCAGCACCACGAGCUCCUCCCCCGAGAGCCCCUCCAUGCCCCCGCCCCGAGCCCCGAGCCCCGACCCCGUGCCCAGGACACAGCCCGCUCCUCCCGGCCCCGCUCACCGGCCUCGCGCCGCCAUGCCGCGCUGCCCCGGAACUGCUCUCCGCCGCCGCCAAGCACUUCCUGCCCCGGCCCUAGCAACCGCCUGCGGCGUCACGUUGCUAAGGGCGGCCUGGGGGCGGCCCGGGGCCUGUGGGGGGGGC